rnacentral:lncRNA from 1 species
AAAACUAUGUCAAUUUCAGCUCUUAAUCCCUCCUAUAGCGUUCUAAACUUCAAUAUUCUUCUUUCUAAACAAUUGUAUACAUAUAUACCACGACAUCUCAAAUGUUAACCGGUGAAAACUGAGUUUUCAAGCUCCAAAAGCGGUUUGAAGCCUUCUUUGCAGCACGCUGUAAGAUUUUUUUUCAGAUUUGAAGCUUUCUACUGUUU